AGCAGCCGCGGUAAUUCCAGCUCCAAUAGCGUAUAUUAAAGUUGUUGCAGUUAAAAAGCUCGUAGUUGAAUUUCGGGAUUGACCCAUCGGUCGUGCCUUAAGGGGCAUGAACUGGUGUAGUCAAUUUCUCACCUUCUGGAGAACCGUGAUGUCCUUAAUUGGGUGCCACGAGGAACCAGGACCUUUACUUUGAAAAAAUUAGAGUGUUUAAAGCAGGCAUUUUUGCUUGAAUACAUUAGCAUGGAAUAAUAAAAUAGGACGGCAUGAUUCUAUUUUGUUGGUUUCUAGGAUCACCGUAAUGAUUAAUAGGGAUAGUUGGGGGCAUUAGUAUUCAAUUGUCAGAGGUGAAAUUCUUGGAUUUAUUGAAGACUAACUACUGCGAAAGCAUUUGCCAAGGAUGUUUUCAUUAAUCAAGAACGAAAGUUAGGGGAUCGAAGACGAUCAGAUACCGUCGUAGUCUUAACCAUAAACUAUGCCGACUAGGAAUCAGACGAUGUUAAUUUUUAAUGACUCGUUUGGC
rnacentral:rRNA from 1 species